rnacentral:rRNA from 1 species
AGUUCGGAGAGUUUGAUCUUGGCUCAGGACGAACGCUGACGGUGUGCUUUAGACAUGCAAGUCGAACGAGAAAGCCCUUCGGGGCGAGUAGAGUGGCGAACGGGUGAGUAACACGUGGGCAA